GAAUACUUUGAUAGAUAAAAGCAAAAAAAUGAAUAGAAAAUUUGGUGGAGGGAAGAAACCAACAGGAACUCCAUCAAUGGCUUGGUCAACUGUGGUUGUCGUUGUUUCUCUCCUUGCUGGUGCCUCCCUUGUCCACAACUUUUUCAAACCUGAUUUGACUCUGCCCCCUGUAGACAGCAUAGAUGGAAUCAAGCAGAAAGAUGCGGAGAAGCAAUAAUCUUUUAUUUCUAUUCAUUUAAGUUUGAUGAAAAUCAUGAAAUGGAGUAGCUAUUAACAGUAGUACGCGCACACCCCUCUCCUUCGCGCAGGACUGAGUUUUAGCACUUGAAGCUAAAUGAUGUUGCACAUGUGAGAUGAUUUGAGUUCGGAUUCACUGAUUAUUAUGUUUUCUUGGACAGUCCAGUUCUUAGUUGUUCUUUCCCUUGUAUUUCGCAGUUGUUCCUAGUAGCGGAUAAACCAAGUUUAGUGUUUCGUGUUUUACUAGGUUGUGCUUUGUGCAUGUACGUCUUCGUUGUCUGUCAAUUGACCAAGAGACUGUAGCUCAUUUGAAAUGAAGUUCUCUUACCCAAAAGAACAAGAAGAAAAUUAUCCAUGAUUAUGGUUCUGAUGGCUUUUGAAUAUUGA